AUUGAACGCUGGCGGCAUGCCUUACACAUGCAAGUCGAACGGUAACAGGUCUUCGGAUGCUGACGAGUGGCGAACGGGUGCGUAAUACAUCGGAACGUGCCCGAUCGUGGGGGAUAACGGAGCGAAAGCUUUGCUAAUACCGCAUACGAUCUACGGAUGAAAGCAGGGGACCGCAAGGCCUUGCGCGGACGGAGCGGCCGAUGGCAGAUUAGGUCGUUGGUGGGAUAAAAGCUUACCAAGCCGACGAUCUGUAGCUGGUCUGAGAGGACGACCAGCCACACUGGGACUGAGACACGGCCCAGACUCCUACGGGAGGCAGCAGUGGGGAAUUUUGGACAAUGGGCGAAAGCCUGAUCCAGCCAUGCCGCGUGCAGGAUGAAGGCCUUCGGGUUGUAAACUGCUUUUGUACGGAACGAAAAGACUCUUUCUAAUAAAGAGGGUCCAUGACGGUACCGGAAGAAUAAGCACCGGCUAACUACGUG
rnacentral:rRNA from 1 species